GUGGAGAGGUAGAUUAGGUUAUAUACUGGGCAUUAGUUGUACAGAUCAGAUAUUAGCUAUAUGCAAUGUGUUAGCCACACUCAGGCUGGCUUUUCCUGAACACCAGGGUGUAAAAAUGAGGAUGCCUCUGGUGUCAAGCACCAAUGUGUGCCCAUUGCCAGGCCCUGGAAUGAGCCACACAGAGCUGUGGAUUUCCCUGGGUGUUGUGGUUGCCUUGUGCUCUCAGCCCUUCAGCCGAGAGCUCCUGACUGGGCCAUCCAGCACCACAGGGCCCAGGGGUUUGGAGGAAUUAAACCCAGCUGGAUCCAACGCAGGUCUUCUCUCAGAAGAUUCCUGAGUUCAUGAAUCUGCAAACCAAGAUCUCCAAGAAAAAAGGGUCUGUCCACUUUUUUCCACUGAUCAUCAGGUAGAGUUUUCUGUACCUAUUCACAGUCUCAGAUGUGCUGAGAGCUCACACCAGUUUAAAGAUCCAUGAAUUCUGCUGUCUGUCACAACCUCACCCUGCCAAAAAUCCUGAGUUUUCAGGUGCCUGCAGCAGGAUGGGCUCCAGCUCUGAACCCCAGAGCUGCCACUGUGUGAGGAUCAACCCUUCAGAGGGGCACAGGGAGCCCUGCAGCUGCUCCUGCAGCCCCUGGGCACUCCCAGCCUGGAACAGGCUCCUGGAAUGCUGCUGGGAUACAGCCCUGGGGCUCUCUGCCUGCCAGUUUUAACCACUGGAAGUUGGAAGAGAUUCCCAAAAAGGAAUCCAAAAUUCCCAAAAAGGUAAGCUGGGGAUGAUGAGGUUUUUAAAGCACAGCAAUACCUGAGCAUGACAAAACCCACAGAAGGGCUGAUGCUGUUUGGCACUCUCCUGGAAGGUCUGUGCAGUAGAAGUUCAGUUCAUUAAUUGCUGCUGCUCCCUCCCAAAGUCAGCUCAGAUUGUUUUCCUGAAAUAAGACCUGAACCCAGAUGGCAGAGGUGAACCUCCCUCGCCAGCCUCCACCAAGAGAAGAUGCAGGUUCAGAAACAAUAUUUAUACUCCCAAAUCUCCCAAAUUACUCUCUUUUUUAAGCUUAUUAAAAUUAAAAGCAUGACC
rnacentral:lncRNA from 1 species